ensembl:lncRNA
UUUCAAGUGAAUUAUAGCUGCAAACGAAAUGACGGUCUACAAUAUGUAUAUAGAACAUCAAGUAUAAAACACUUUGAAGUAUCAGCCAUAACAGCAAACAAAAUAAACAUAGGCCUACAAUAUGAAUAUCAAGUAAAUUUGAUUAUUUUAAGUAACAGCCAUAAGAUUAAACAAAAUAAAUAAAUGACACAAAUAAGAAUAUAAAAUACCAAAAGUAAUACAAUCAAAGUGCAGCAAACAAAAUAGACAGCAGCGACAACGUUUCCGUGUUUCUUUUACAAUUUAUUUUUGCCUUGUGCUGCCUUUCAGGGGUUUGGUUGAGGGCCAGGAAUACAAGCUGGUCAACCCCCUCUGGUUUUAAUGAUGACCUAAUACAUAUCACAAUAUUCCCACUUGUGCUGAACGCCCGCCCUGAUGGGGCUCUUGUGGCCGGGAUGCACAAAUAUUUCUUUGCUAGCCUGGCCACCAGUGUGAAAUAUGUCUUGUCCUGCUUCCACCAUUCCAGGGGGUAGCUCUCUGUUUGGAGGUAGUUGCUGAACUCCCUUUCUCUCUGAGGGGUGGCUUGGUCUUGCACUGCUGCUUUUUUUAACAACUGGUGGAAUGGAGACUGCGUCUUCUGACGCUACUUGUAUAGGUGCUAGCCUCUCAAUUUCUGCCGCAGAUUUCGUCUUCAUGUAGUCCUCCUUCUCUUCUUUUAUGUAAGUGGUUUUGAACCAAGGAUCGAGAAGUGAACCCAUGUCAAGCAGCUCCUCUGUGGUUUCGUCAUCAAACUUCUCAUUUAAGUAAUUGAGGAUAGUGCCUUUGAUGGACGUGGUGAGCGGAAUGUCGUCAUGUUGACGCUUGAGAACUUAGUUAUUAAAAAGGUGGUGCACGGGUUUCACAACAGAUACACUUGUGUACUGCUCCCCAGACAAGGCAUCUGUAAACUCCAUGAGGGGGCUGAGUUCCUUGUUGAUAGACUCCAGAACACCCAUUUCCUGCCAGAUGUCGUGUCUUCUUGUCUGCUUGGAUGACCUGUGUUAGAGCUUUCUCCUGCUCCCUUUUCAAUCAUCUGUUGUCAAGAUCCCCAUCUGGUGGGGGUCUCUGUGAUCAGCUGAUGAGCAGGCAAGCCCAGCUCUACUUCAGCCUUGGUCAGCUCCUGUCUUCUCUUACAAGAAUUAGAGAAGGCACCCACCAACUUCUUGCAGACACCAACUGCACGCUCCACUUGUGGUAGUUUCACACCUCGCUCUGUCAAGAUAAAGGGAAGGUAAAAGUAAUUUUUCCACAAUAGCUUGUAAUUGCACUUUACAGGACAGGUGGCAUGGCAUUUAUAACAAUUACAAUUAUUUAUGACAUUUUUAAAUUAUAUUUAUUAAUGAAAAAUUAUUGUUUUAUAAUUAUUUUGAAUUAUAUGCAUAGCUAACUGCCAGAAACCCCAGCUGAACUGGCAUACAUGUUGUAAAAAUAUUUAAUCAGCAAUGCAUUUUCUUGUGUUAAAAUACUUCUAACUUCUUUCAAUCAAAUAAUAACAACAGAGAACCUUAUCGGUCCUCCAAAUAACCAUUAUUAUUAACCUAUGAGCAUUAAUGAUUUUACUCAUUAGACACUCACCAAUAGCUAGAUGAAGUCAAUGGCCAAAACACUAAUCUCCUCCAGUCUUUCCGCUCCAUAGCACUGAUAUUGUUAGUGGCGUUGUCCAUGGUGACACAGACUAGCUGAUCUUCCAGCAAUCCCCAUGACUCUAGAGCUUCCUUAAGACCCUUGGCUAUAAGCUGUCCUUAUGGUCAUUGGGGAAAUACCUAGUCUGUAGACAUCGACUACACAGUGUCCAGUCUUUGAUUAAAUGGAUUGUCAAGCUCAAAUAAGGCUCUGUCAUUCGGCUCGUCCACAUGUCGGUUGUUAUUGCAUAGUACGUUACCCCGCUAAGCUUCACUACAACUUUAGCCCUACAUUCUUCAUAUAAACGUGGCAACUAAAUUUCACCAAAUGCUUGCGGCUUGGCAUAACAUACCUCAGGUUUUGACUAAUGAUUUAAACCCUGUCUUCUCAACGGUGUAAAUCGGCACCAUGUCUUUGCAUAUGUGUAUCGUAAUGGCACACGUUAUCUCCUUUCAUGUUCCUGAUGUCUUGUCAUAUGGAGUGCCUCGGGCAAAAGCAUCCUUCAAAGUUUGCGUCUGAUGUUUGCUUUUAACACUCGACUUUCCUUUGAUAGUUAAAAUUUUUUGUCUCUCUCGGUACUGCAUCAUGAUUCUUUUCUAGGUGAUCAAAUAGGCUUGUUGUGUUUGAGUCGGAAUUGGGACUGAUCUGCGGUAUACUAAGUUUGAUUUUUUGCUGUGUCUGAUUUUUCAUACCCAAACCAAUUCCAAACAACAGACGUAGCCCCCCUCUUUUUUAUGAACUCAUCUUGUCUUGGUUGGGCAGAAUCCUUUUGCUUAUCCGAAUGUUGGGAAGAAUCCCGGGACGAACGUUCAGUCUCAUCCUCCUCCAUGUUUGUGUGUUUUCACUCACACAUGCAAAUAAAUGUUGCUGUAAUGCAGUUAUAUGGUUGAUUAUUGAUAUAGCAAAAAAAUAUACGAAAACAAAUAUUUAAAAAAUAUAUUCUUUCAUUUUAAAUUUCAAAUAUAUUAUUCUAUUGCACAGCCCUAUAUGGCAACUUCAAAAACCUUCCAAAACACAUCUUUCAAAUACAUUAGACUAUGUAUACUGCUAGAUUGAUGAUGAUGGAGAAACUAUUCUUCAACAGAGAAAAUCAGUUGAUGUUUCUUUUAUUUAGAGUUAAGAUACACUCUCUCUUUGGUCAAGAUGAUAAGCUAAUGUUAGCUAACUAAGUUGUGUCCAAGCUUCCAUUUCCAUUUCCUCCUGGAAAUUUGUGUUACAGCCUAGCUAAUGUUUGUAGUAUUCUCUGCAAAAGAUUAAAACAUUUGUAUUGUGAGUUGUUUGACCAAACCUAAUGCAUAAGCAACUAUUGCUCGGAAUAAGCAAUUGCAUUACCUUUUAGCUAGGUUAAGCUGUGUGCAAGCUGGUCAAAACAUGCAAAUAUUGCUUCCCAUCAAUGGACUUACUGUCACGCGCUAUUUACUCAGCAUAAAUAUGCUUUCAAGUCUGCUAGCUAGCCAUCAACGAGUCCCUGAAAUAUCAUAUUGUAUCUAAAGCAAUAGUUAGCUCAGAUUAUGUUUGGAUGAGUUCAGCUGUUAACUUUCCUUAUUCUGUGUUCUUUAGUUAUGAAAAGGGCCCAUCAACUUCGAUCCCAUCUAAAACUCAUCUGUGUUAAUUGCUCCAGAAUGGACGGUUGGAGGUGACAUUGCUUCAGACCGCUCAGUAAGCUCGUAGUUAGUAAUGUUAGUAAUGAUAGUGUCAGAUCCUAAUGGAGUUAGAACCGAUAUUUAACUCACUGCCAAUAGGUGGUGUAAACUUAGCAUAGGUCACCUUUAAGCUUUGAUCACAAGGAGUAUAAGACAAGUCAAAAACAUAAUUAUGCUAUGCGUUAUCUGAAUUUUAACUUUUAAAAGUGUGGCAGAUACUGGUCAGUUUCUUUUAUAUAUUUGUGCAAGAUGGUUGAGGACGGGGAUUAGUGUAACUAUCUGUUUAAAGAAAAGUAAAUAUUGGGCUGGGAUUUCAAAAGUUAUUUAGGUUGAUAUUACCUAUCAAAUGUAAACCAGAAAAGGAACCAGCUUUUAUGGCCCACGAUUAGAAGGGAUGAAUGUUGUCCCUGGCUGGACUUUAACCAUUACGCUAUUUAAACAGCGGGAAUCACAAUCUAUGUACAUUACAAUUCCCUUCUGUAUAAGCCACAAAUGAAAUACGGUACAAAUACCACAUUGUAACAUUUUUAAGGUAAAUAUUUAAAUGCAUCGAAAUAAUUAACGUAUUCAUCAUCCUUAAAGAAAAGACUGGCAAUAUCACAGCUACCAUAUAAACCAUGCAUGCGUCACGUAAAUUGCAUUGCUGACUAUUAAUAACCAAAAUACACACUAAAUAAUCCAAUACCAAAAAUAUAGAUUAACCUUUGUUAGGGAUGCGCUACUGAAAACCAUACUCACAGGCUGUAUACCUUGUAGCAAAAACAACAAUAGAUGUAGUAAGAUUGGAUUGUACUUUGAUGAACUCUCAC